rnacentral:rRNA from 1 species
AAGGUAGCAAAAUCAAUUGCCCUUUAAUUGGGGGCGCGUAUGAAUGGAUCUACGAGAGCUAAGCUGUCUCACGCCUGUAAAUGAAAACUAACCUUUAGGUGAAAAGGCCUAAAUAUACUAAAAAGACAAGAAGACCCUGUAGAGCUUUACUCUAAAUAAAUUGAAAAAUAAUUAUUUAUAAAUUUCUUGCACCAUUUCCACCUAAGAGUUUGGUUGGGGCAACCAGGGACUAACAAAACCGUCUCUUAUUAUUCAUGACCAAUCCGUCUCCUAAAAGACCCGUAUAUUAAUAUGAUUUGAAGAAUUAGCUACCUAAGGGAUAACAGACUAAUCCCCCUUGAGAGUCCACAUUGACAGGGGGGCUUGGCACCUCGAUGUG